CGAUUAUUUUUUGGGCUUUUCUGCCUUCAUAUGAUAGGACAGCUUGGUAAGAAAGGGGAGAGAGAGGGGAAGACAUGCUGGAAAUCAUCACAUGUCAGCCUCGAACCUCGGA